rnacentral:rRNA from 1 species
AGAUUGAACGCUGGCGGCAGGCCUAACACAUGCAAGUCGAGCGGUAGAGAGGUGCUUGCACCUCUUGAGAGCGGCGGACGGGUGAGUAAUGCCUAGGAAUCUGCCUAGUGGUGGGGGAUAACGUUCGGAAACGGACGCUAAUACCGCAUACGUCCUACGGGAGAAAGCGGGGGACCUUCGGGCCUCGCGCCAUUAGAUGAGCCUAGGUCGAUUAGCUAGUGGUGAGGUAAUGGCUCACCAAGGCGACGACUCCGUAAACUGGUCUGAGAGGAUGAUCAGUCACACUGGGACUGAGACACGGUCCAGACUCCGUACGGGAGGCAGCAGUGGGGAAUAGUUGGAACAAUGGGACGAAACGCCGUGAUCCAAGCCAAUCGGCCGCGGUGUAGGUACGAAAGGUAAGGUU